rnacentral:tRNA from 1 species
GGGGUGAUAGCUCAGUUGGGAGAGCGUACGACUGAAGUUUAAACUUCGGUUAUUCAUUAAUAAAUCGUAAGGCCGCCGGUUCAAUCCCGGCUCGCCCCA